ensembl:snRNA U6 U6 spliceosomal RNA
GUGCUCACUUUAACAACAUGUGUACUGAAAUUGCGACCAUACAGAGAAGAUUAGCAUGGUCCCUGCACAAGGAUGACAUGCAAAUUUAUAAAGCAUUCCAUAUCUUU